UGCAGGUCACAGCCCCAGUGUCCCCAGUACUGGUCACUCCAGUGUCCCCAGGAGCAGUGGUCACUGCAGGGUCACAGCCCCAGUGUCCCCAGUACUGGUCACUCCAGUGUCCCCAGGAGCAGUGGUCACUGCAGGGUCACAGCCCCAGUGGCCCCAGUACUGGUCACUCCAGUGUCCCCAGGA